UAGAGUUUGAUCCUGGCUCAGGAUGAACGCUAGCUACAGGCUUAACACAUGCAAGUCGAGGGGAAACGGCAUUGAGUGCUUGCACUCUUUGGACGUCGACCGGCGCACGGGUGAGUAACGCGUAUCCAACCUUCCCAUUACUGUGGGAUAACCUGCCGAAAGGCAGACUAAUACCGCAUAGUCUUCGAUGACGGCAUCAGAUUUGAAGUAAAGAUUUAUCGGUAAUGGAUGGGGAUGCGUCUGAUUAGCUUGUUGGCGGGGUAACGGCCACCAAGGCGACGAUCAGUAGGGGUUCUGAGAGGAAGGUCCCCCACAUUGGAACUGAGACACGGUCCAAACUCCUACGGGAGGCAGCAGUGAGGAAUAUUGGUCAAUGGACGGAAGUCUGAACCAGCCAAGUAGCGUGCAGGAUGACGGCCCUAUGGGUUGUAAACUGCUUUUGUAUGGGGGUAAAGUUAGGGACGUGUCCCUAUUUGCAGGUACCAUACGAAUAAGGACCGGCUAAUUCCGUGCCAGCAGCCGCGGUAAUACGGAAGGUCCAGGCGUUAUCCGGAUUUAUUGGGUUUAAAGGGAGCGUAGGCUGGAGAUUAAGUGUGUUGUGAAAUGUAGACGCUCAACGUCUGAAUUGCAGCGCAUACUGGUUUCCUUGAGUACGCACAACGUUGGCGGAAUUCGUCGUGUAGCGGUGAAAUGCUUAGAUAUGACGAAGAACUCCGAUUGCGAAGGCAGCUGACGGGAGCGCAACUGACGCUUAAACUCGAAGGUGCGGGUAUCAAACAGGAUUAGAUACCCUGGUAGUCCGCACAGUA
rnacentral:rRNA from 1 species